UACGGAAGGCAGCAGUGGGGAAUAUUGCACAAUGGGCGAAAGCCUGAUGCAGCUAUGCCGCGUGUAUGAAGAAGGCCUUAGGGUUGUAAAGUACUUUCAUCGGGGAGGAAAAAACAAAACUAAUAAUUUUAUUUCUUGACGUUACCCGAAAAAGAAGCACCGGCUAACUCCGUGCCAGCAGCCGCGGUAAUACGGAGGGUGCUAGCGUUAAUCAGAAUUACUGGGCGUAAAGAGCACGUAGGUGGUUUUUUUAAGUCAGAUGUGAAAUCCCUGGGCUUAACCUGGAACUGCAUUUUGAAACUGAAAUACUAGAGUAUCGUAGAGGGAGGUAGAAUUCUAGGUGUAGCGGUGAAAUGCGUAGAUAUCUGGAGGAAUACCUGUGGCGAAAGCGGCCUCCUAAACGAAUACUGACACUGAGGGUGCGAAAGCGUGGGGAGCAAACAGGGAUUAGAUA
rnacentral:rRNA from 1 species